GGAUUAGAUACCCUGGUAGUCCACGCCCUAAACGAUGUCGAUUAGCUGUUGGGCAGCUUGACUGCUUAGUAGCGAAGCUAACGCGUGAAAUCGACCGCCUGGGGAGUACGGUCGCAAGAUUAAAACUCAAAGGAAUUGACGGGGACCCGCACAAGCGGUGGAUGAUGUGGAUUAAUUCGAUGCAACGCGAAGAACCUUACCUGGUCUUGACAUGUACGGAACCCUCCAGAGACGGAGGGGUGCCUUCGGGAGCCGUAACACAGGUGCUGCAUGGCUGUCGUCAGCUCGUGCCG
rnacentral:rRNA from 1 species